UACGUAGGGUGCGAGCGUUGUCCGGAAUUACUGGGCGUAAAGAGCUCGUAGGUGGUUUGUCGCGUUGUCCGUGAAAACUCACAGCUUAACUGUGGGCGUGCGGGCGAUACGGGCAGACUGGAGUACUGCAGGGGAGACUGGAAUUCCUGGUGUAGCGGUGGAAUGCGCAGAUAUCGGGAGGAACACCGGUGGCGAAGGCGGCCCCCUGGUUGGAUACUGACGCUGAGACGCGAAAGCGUGGGGAGCAAACAGG
rnacentral:rRNA from 1 species